GGGGUUGUAAUGGUUUCGACGGGGCGUAAGGAAGAUGACUGAAGCCUGCUCGGUUAGAGCAAAAACACAAACGCUAACAAAAUCGUUAGUUUCUCCCGUCAAACAGCACCAGUUGCUGCUUGAUCUCAAAGGAGAUGGGGUGAUAUCAGCCUUAUCAACCAAAUGAUCCAAGGAGCCUGGAAGGGCUCCACCAUU
rnacentral:tmRNA from 1 species